rnacentral:rRNA from 1 species
UCCGACCCGUAAUCUCCGGGCUACACGCGGGCUACAAUGGGUGGGACAAUGGGUAUCGACACCGAAAGGUGAAGGCAAUCUCCUAAACCCAUCCGUAGUUCGGAUUGUGGGCUGCAACUCGCCCACAUGAAGCUGGAAUCUGUAGUAAUCGUGUCUCAAAAUGGCACGGUGAAUAUGUCCCUGCUCCUU